rnacentral:lncRNA from 1 species
CCCUCGCCACCUAGAUAUUACACUCAAUAUCCAAACCAACAAAACCAACCACCACCUCCUUAAGGCAGCCAUGGAGAGCAAACGUCACAAACCCAAACUCUAGCUUACAGUAGUUCACAGAGAUGCAAGAAAAAAAUGAGGAUACUUCCUUGCACCAACGAAUAUAUUAGCAACAACAAGAGGUGAAUUUUAAGUUUUAUGUUGAACCUUCACUAGAAAGCUAUAAUAGCUCGCACAGAGGUUUCCCACCAUUACAUGAUCACCAAAGGCGAAAUCCUAACAUACACUUACAUUUAAGGGCAAACAUUUUUCUAACCUUGCUAAUUCUAUGAACUCGAUGAGCAGAAGGAGAGAUGGUAGUUAGUGGAAUCAACAACGAAAGCAAAUUGAAAGAGCUCCAUAUAACAGGUUUGAAACUUAUACACCUAACCUUACUUCGUCGCUUAUAUUCUUAGCUAGAUAGAAAAUUAAGGAAUUUUAGAAACACCCCCAUUGGUGAAACCUAGUCACUUUAUAGUCAGCCCAUAGGUGUCAGUUUCAUAAUGCUCCUGAUCACAAGAAUAAAACUGUAUACACCUAAAGGAUGCAAUUGAAUCUAUUGUGUGGAAGGGAUAGUUAAAGUAGUAUGUAGCUCAACCCUUCAAAAUCGAAAUAACAGAGAGUAUGGUAAUUGAAAUGUUGGUUCUUCUCAAGAGUUUAGAGAGGACAAAGCAAGAGAUAAGCAACUACUUAAGGGAGUCAUCAACGUGAUGGUGGAAAAUAAUUAGGGUUGGACAAGACUUAAUGCUAAGAGGAAGGCAUAUUUGAAGAAUGCAAUGUUCAUCAAUGCUCCAUUAAAAAAGCCUCACUCGGGGCAAUCAUGGCAACGUUGGCUUAAUGGAAUUGAUUAAGAUAAACUUUUAGAUGUAAAUAGUAAUGGCCUUCUGGUGGUUAUCAGCGACCAUAAUUGGGUUUCAAGUGAAGAGAAUAUUAGCUGACCCUGAAGUGCAGUGGAAGUUUACAUUGAUAGACAUUCAAGUUGAUGGAUUUUAAGGAAUCAAUACUCAAGAGCGUGAGACCUAUUUAUGGCUUCACUAACCAGCCAAUAGAGGUCAAAGUGGCAGCAACUUUAUUAGUCACGUUAGGCGAUGGUUAGCAUACAAAGACAGAGAUGAUAGAAUUCUUGAUGGUUGACCAUCCCUCAGCCUAUAAUGACAUAUUUGGUAGAUCAAUCAUAAGGAUGGAAAAGAUGGUCGCGACAACAUUUUGUUUGAAGCUUAAAUUACUUGCCCGUACAGAAAAAUGCUACAUGAGAUCCAAUCAAUGUACUACUAGACAAUGUCAUUUUGCAUGCGAAUAAAGCAAGUAGAAAGAGAAGUGGCAUAGGUAUCUCCAUUAGAGAAGCGUGGGAAAGAUAUAUUCACAUGAUAAAUGCAAGGGGUAAUCAAAUUGGAAAAAGUACGAUGAACUUGGAGAGUCUAGAUGACAAGGCAAAGACAAGGAUCCAUAAAAUAGAAGCAGCAAACUAGACAGAACCUUUGUGUUUGUUUCAUAAUGAUUUUGAGAAAACAACAUAAAUUUCAUUUGUUUUUCCUAAGACUAAAAGCGAGCACUAAUUCACCUUAUAGGAGUAAAGGUGAAUUCGAUCUUAAGGGUUUUUGGCUUAAUUGUGAUAAGAAUGUAAGUUUCAAUUUUAGGAGCUAAAUUGAAUAAAAGGUAAAAGUUUAAGGAAAUAGUGUAAAAUGUUAUUAAAUGGUCAUAUCUAUGUGUUCAGACAUUUUAAAAUUGAAAGUGAUAAUUGAGUUAAAUUAUUAUAUAUAGAUCAAGAAAUGGAUCAAUCAAUUAAUAAAGGUGGAAAAGGAAAAAUUGUUGACUAGUCAUCGGUGUGGUGUUUGUUGUUGUUUCAUUUAAGUAAGUUCGCAUUAGGUUCAUUUUGAUUGAUACUUAUGUUUGUACUAGGUGUAUAUAUGUGUGUGUUGUUGUUGUUGGCAUGAUUGUUGGAAAUAAAUGUUGAAAUUGAUAUUGAAAGACUUAAUUGUAAAGUAUAACAACUUAUGUGUUUGGAAUGAAUUGAGAGAUGAUAUGGAAUGUAAAUGACCAUGAUGAAUAUGAAACUAUGUUAUAAAGAUGGAAAGAGUGUGAUGAUGGAAUUAAGGCCCGUGUGAUCUUAGUGAAUAAUUAGGAUAUAAAUGACAUGUCAUUAGGGUUUAUCAGACACUAUGUACAGGUGAUUAUAUUUAUCAGGUACUUUGUAUCGGUGUUCAUGUUGUAUCAGGCACUAUGUAUCGGUGUUAUAUUUAUCAGGCACUAUGUGCCAGUGUUAUAUUUAUCAGAUACUAUGUAUAGGUGGUGGAUAUCAUUUCGAUGGCUAGAAUUUAGCAUUUGUCGCGAAUACUCGACAACUUGUGUGAGCAACAUUGAGUAAUGGUUAAUGUCUCGAUUUACAGCUUGAGUGAGCAAAUUUAUCCCAAGUAUCCCAAGUUCAGUUAUUAUAGUUCUCCGGGCAAAACUAGAUAAGGAAAUAAAUAGAGAUGGAAUAUUAUGGCAUAAAAUGUUAUUCAUUGAAUGAAUGGAAAUGUCAUGUGUAUUAUGCUAUCUAUAUGUCUUGAUGUUUGCUAUAUGUUCAUGACUAACCAUUUUGGUAUGGUAGGGAAUAUGUAACUUGGUCAGGAAUACUAAGUUUAUAUGUUAAUUUCAAUUAGUAGGAAUUUAAAUGACAAGCAUGUUGUGUUUGAAUUAUACGAACUUACUAAGCUUUGAGUAAGCUUACCAUGUUUCUUUUAUUCCUUGUAGAUUGUUGGAAUCUUGCUAUUGAUUGGAUAGUCUUCGGAGCUCACACUAUCCGUCAAUCCUUUCGGUAGACUUUUACUCAUUUUGGCCUAGUUAUAAGUGGCAUUUAAAUAGGUUAAUGGCAAUGUAUGCAUAUAAGUAAUUGAAUUAUGUUUCGGUGCCAUCUUGAAUAUGAAUUUUGCAUAUAGAGGUAAACCUUGAUGGUUGCUUUGGUUAGUUGUGGUACUUGAUGGUAUAAGCAUGCUUUGGUACCUAGAAUGCAUUUUUUUAUGAAUUUGACCAUUUGGGAUUGAUGUUGUAUUGGUGAAUAAAUAGGUAUGAAACUUUGGUAUGC